rnacentral:rRNA from 1 species
AGUGGCGGACGGGUGAGUAACGCGUGAGAAUCUGCCUUCAGGUCUGGGACAACAGAAGGAAACUUCUGCUAAUCCCGGAUGAGCCUUAGGGUAAAAGAUUAAUUGCCUGGAGAUGAGCUCGCGUCUGAUUAGCUAGUUGGUGUGGUAAAAGCAUACCAAGGCAACGAUCAGUAGCUGGUCUGAGAGGAUGAGCAGCCACACUGGGACUGAGACACGGCCCAGACUCCUACGGGAGGCAGCAGUGGGGAAUUUUCCGCAAUGGGCGAAAGCCUGACGGAGCAAGACCGCGUGGGGGAGGAAGGCUCUAGGGUUGUAAACCCCUUUUCUUUGGGAAGAAGUUCUGACGGUACCAAAGGAAUCAGCCUCGGCUAACUCCGUGCCAGCAGCCGCGGUAAUACGGAGGAGGCAAGCGU